AAUCCAUGUUGUGGGCAUCUCUAAAUUAGUGUUUUAAAAUGCUCCCAAGCUUCAUGAAAACUUUCCCCUUCUAAUUUUUUAAAAGUUGCGAUCUUCCUCCUUAGUUG
rfam:Gossypium hirsutum cultivar TM-1 chromosome 9, whole genome shotgun sequence